GGACUACUAGGGUUUCUAAUCCUGUUUGCUCCCCACGCUUUCGCACCUCAGUGUCAGUAUCAGUCCAGGUGGUCGCCUUCGCCACUGGUGUUCCUUCCUAUAUCUACGCAUUUCACCGCUACACAGGAAAUUCCACCACCCUCUACCGUACUCUAGCUCAGUAGUUUUGGAUGCAGUUCCCAGGUUGAGCCCGGGGAUUUCACAUCCAACUUGCUGAACCACCUACGCGCGCUUUACGCCCAGUAAUUCCGAUUAACGCUUGCACCCUUCGUAUUACCGCGGCGGCUGGCAC
rnacentral:rRNA from 1 species